rnacentral:rRNA from 1 species
AUACGGAGGGUGCAAGCGUUACUCGGAAUCACUGGGCGUAAGGCGCGCGCAGGCGGCCAUUUAAGUUGGAUGUGAAAGCCUACGGCUCAACCGUAGAACUGCAUCCAAAACUAUUUGGCUAGAGUGUGGGAGAGGAAGAUGGAAUUAGUUGUGUAGGGGUAAAAUCCGUAGAGAUAACUAGGAAUACCAAAAGCGAAGGCAAUCUUCUGGAACAUUACUGACGCUGAGGCGCGAAAGCGUGGGGAGCAAACAGGAUUAGAAACCCUAGUAGUCC